rnacentral:lncRNA from 1 species
CUUUAGUACUUGCCAAGAGUAGGGGUGACCAAAACAGAAAAGGAUCUACUCAUGUAAGCAAGCAUUCAAUCCAGUAGACCUACCCUGCCCAGAAAUCAAAAUAGAAAUUAAAAUAAACUGUUUGGACAU